AGCCCUGAGGUGUAUUUACAUAUUAGGUUGCAAACCUAAAGAAGUAGGCUAACAGCCUACCGGGGCUU
rnacentral:tRNA from 1 species